rnacentral:rRNA from 1 species
CAGUAGGGAUACCCGCUGAACUUAAGCAUAUCAUA